GACGAACGCUGGCGGCGCGCUUAACACAUGCAAGUCGAGCGAAGCGGCGGACGGGUGAGCAACACGUGAGUAACCUGCAUUAGACCUUGGGAUAGCCUCGGGAAACCGGGAGUAAUAUCAAAUGGUCUAAGAUGGACUCAGGUCCCAUUAGCUAGUUGGUGGGUAACGGCCCACCAAGGCGAAGAUGGGUAGCCGGCCUGUGAGGGUGAACGGCCACAUUGGAACUGAGAAACGGUCCAAACUCUACGGGAUGCAUCAGUUGGGAAUGUUGCACAAUGGAGGGAACUCUGAUGCAGCGACGCCGCGUGAACGAAGAAGGCUUUCGAGUCGUAAAUUUCUUUUAUAUGGGAAGCGGUACCAUAAGAAAAAGCCCCGGCUAACUACGUGCCAGCAGCCGCGGUAAUUC
rnacentral:rRNA from 1 species